rnacentral:rRNA from 1 species
UACGGAAGGGGCAAGCGUUGUCCGGAAUUAUUGGGCGUAAAGAGCUCGUAGGCGGUGUGUCGCGUCGGCCGUGAAAACUUGGGGCUUAACUCUGAGCGUGCGGUCGAUACGGGCAUCACUUGAGUUCGGCAGGGGAGACUGGAAUUCCUGGUGUAGCGGUGAAAUGCGCAGAUAUCAGGAGGAACACCGGUGGCGAAGGCGGGUCUCUGGGCCGAUACUGACGCUGAGGAGCGAAAGCAUGGGGAGCGAACAGG